UGACUGGUUGCUUACUAUUAGCACUGCGAAGUCCUGCAUCUGAUCCCACAAGGUUCAAAAUAUAAAAUAAGUGUCAUCUAAAUUGUCCCAUAUUGAUAAUUACCUAGAAAAAGACGUGGUGAUGAAAAAAAGGUUCAAGACAGAAAAGAGAAAGCUAAGCUCCAGAGGAGAGAAGAGAGACAGAUAGAACGAGAUGAAAAACACCCCCAAGAGCAGCAGAAGGUACCAGCUGAAGAACAGCAGUGGCCAGAGAAUAUGCCUGAAUGGGAAGAAAGGAAAUCCCUGCUAGCUCAGAGAAGAGUGGAGUCUGUCAGACUGCUUACAGUGCUGUUAAACCGAGUGAAAGAUUUUGCACAGUUGGCAAGUCAAAAAGUGGAUCCUUCGUUGGGCCUAAGGAAGGACGAUUCUUUUCCUGAAACAACAUUAAAAGACAUACAUCAGGAAGAGAUAAACUCCCAUUGCCAUACGCACAAAGAUUUGAAACAUAAGGAAGAGUUUACAUGUCAGUUAACCCAAAAAGGUAGCACCUUAUGUAGUGAGGAAGGAGAUGUGACUAACUUGUGUGCAUCCACCUGUCAUAUAGUCAGGACAGUUUUAAAUGAUCCCAGUAGAGCCCUGAGUUGUGACAGCUUGACGGGCAGAGAUGCGUGCAACUCCUUUGGCUGUGGAUCUUUACUGAUUACAGUUACUCAAGACUGCAAGGUCAUCGAGCCUCUCGAGAGAAGGGACUGCCCAACACUGAAUGUAGUUCGCACGCAGACAGUGUCUGAUGAAGACGGCUGCAAAAAGCAAAAGGUCUAUGAGACUGAUGAAUUUAUCCAUUAUUUAUUAAACUACUAUCAGACACCGAGCUAUGCACGUGUUUGCUUAGAGCCAAAAAGCACCGUGAGCAGGUCCUGGUGGAAGAGAGUGGUGUCUGAUGAUGAUAGUGGUUUUCAGAUCAGCUUGAGUAACAAACAUGAUCAGCACUUCAGAGAAGUGAGUCUUGUGCAAAACCUCAGCAAGAGAAAUUGUAGUAGAGAUGACAAUUAUAGACUGGUGAUCGAGGUUGGGGAAUUUGAAACUACAGACACAGUGUUGAAAAGCAAGACCUGUGCGAGUAGGCUUGCAAAAAAACUGCAAGCACAGAGGAAUGACUCACUGGCUGUUGAUAACUUACCACGUGCUGGACUGAAUCGCUUUUUGGACGGCACCACUGCUAGUCAUGAUAAGGAAUUCCAUCUAGAAGACAGUAGAGGUGAAGCUACUGUACCAUACAAAAUGUGUAGAUCUGCUUUCCAAUUAAAGAACUUGUUGGAAGAGAUCAGUGACUCAGAGUACUUUGGUGAGACACAUAGUGGCUCAAUGAAGAGGACAGAGAGAAAGUGUGAAGAAAUUCACAGCAAUUGUGAUAAAGGGUGCUUGCUCCCAGGAGAGGGAGAGAGAAAAUUACUGGUUUAUGUUAAAAAUGUAGCCCUGGAAGGUCGAGAAAAGGAAUGCAGCAAAUGUAGCUUCUGUUCUAAUUCUGCCUGUGAGGGAUUGUCAAGGCAGUGUGAACACAAGUUUAAAAAGUCAUGCAAGCGGUCUAGUAGUAAAUUAAGACUUGAAGGACAGAGAAGUGAGAGACAAUCCAGGGAAGAGGAGAGGAAUGCUCACAAAAAGAAGAAAAAGAGAAAAAAGCUUUCUUCUAAUCUUUUAUCUGAUGAAUAUGGCUUUUCAGAGACAGACAGUUGCAUACAGCUGGAGUCACUCAGAAAGAUACAAAAAACAUGUAACAAAAUGUUGCACAAGAAAAUGAAGUUGAAAGCGCUUCACCCGGUGACAGCGGCUCCAGAAGAUGUUCCUCCUGGCGAUGCCUCACCUCUCCAGGGGAGCCUCCGGAGGGCAGGAGAUGAGAGGAAGUUAAUACUGAGAAGAGAGAUGGAUGCUGAUGUCAGAGGAUGCCCUCUUUAUCCUCUUGAAAUAAUUCAGACCAACCCCCGCUCAGAUACAUUGUGUGGAGCAGAACCUGGAAGAGGAUGCUGAGCAGCUGCUGUGUAAUAGCUCUUAAGCCUACUCACAGAAGUGGGAGAAAGUAAGUCCUUUAGUCAUUAAAAGUUAUCUGAAAUAUUGGAUUUCUUGUUUUGUGUGUAGAUAAUUUCUUCUGUAUGGAGGAGUAGAAUAAUCUUACUGGUGUAGUGAGCCAAAAAAUGAGAAUUUUUAUCUGACUACUGGACAACAAAGGACCAAAAUGUUUCCCAGAGACAGACAAACUUUUGUGGACCAGUUGCUAAGAAUUCAAAAAGUAGCAGUUUGAUAUCUUGGAGUUGUACCCAGAUUAAAUCUAGGGUGCCAUGUAAAUAUAGGAGCUACAGUUUUUGGCAGUACUGA